UGGGGAGUAGCUCAGUGGUAGAGUACUUAUCUAGCAUGUGUGAGCUAGGUUCAUCUUCAGCACCUGGGUUCAAUCCCCAGCACUACAA
rfam:Ictidomys tridecemlineatus contig054102, whole genome shotgun sequence.